rnacentral:lncRNA from 1 species
AGCUCAAUUAAAUUUUAUUGAAGUUAUAAAAGAAACACAAAGAAAUCCUAAAGAAAUAUAAAAGAAUAUUAAAAAAAACUUAGUCAAACCCUAACAAAAAUCUAAUAGAACCUUAAAUUCUAACCAAAUCCUAAUCCUAAUCCAAUCUUAAUCAAAUCCUAGAUAAACCCUAAAUCCUAAACCAAAUCUUAAUCAAAUCUUAAUUCCUAACUAAACCCUAAUCCAAAUCCUAAACCCUAAAUCAAAUCCUAUCCAAAUCUUAAACCCUAAACUAAAUCCUAAUUCAAACGCUAAAUC